GCAGAAGUGGCGGAAUUGGCAGACGCGCACGGUUCAGGUCCGUGUGGUAGCAAUACCUUGUGGGUUCGACUCCCAUCUUCUGCACGA
rnacentral:tRNA from 4 species